rnacentral:RNase_P_RNA from 2 species
GAGGAAAGUCCGGGCUUCAUAGGGCAGGGUGCCAGGUAACGCCUGGGCGGUGUAAACCGACGGCAAGUGCAGCAGAGAGUAGACCGCCUCAUUCGUGAGGUAAGGGUGAAAGGGUGCGGUAAGAGCGCACCGCGUGUCUGGUAACAGUUCACGGCAAGGUAAACCCCACCAGAAGCAAGACCAAAUAGGAAUCCUGAGGCACGGCCCGUGCUGGAUUCGGGUAGGUCGCUUGAGCGUAUGAGUGAUUGUACGCCUAGAGGAAUGAUCGUCCUCGACAGAACCCGGCUUA